rnacentral:rRNA from 1 species
AGCCAUUAGACGAUAUUUAUGGUUUAACCUGCCCAAUGUUAGCAAUAAUGAAUGGCCGCGGUACCCUGACCGUGCUAAGGUAGCGUAAUCAGUUGGCUUUUAAAUGGAGUCAGGAAUGAAUGGGAAAACCGGGUUUAGCUGUCUCCUUACUAUUUUUUUGAAUUUACUGUUUAAGUGAAAAAGCUUAAAGUUGACAAAGGGACGAGUAGACCCUUAGAAUUUUUUUUAAAAUGACAAAUUCUCAUAAUAAUUUUGUUGGGGCGACAGAGAAAUAUUUAAAACUUUCUUUAAAUUUACAUGCCGAUAUUGUUAAGCAAGAAUAAAUUACCUGAGGGAUAACAGCAUUAUUCUACAGUUGAGUUUGUGACCUCGAUGUUGGACUAGGAAACUAACAGGCUAGCCGUUUGUUGUGUGGGUUCUGUUCGAACUCUAAUUCCU